rnacentral:rRNA from 1 species
AACGAACGCUGGCGGCAGGCUUAACACAUGCAAGUCGAGCGCCCCGCAAGGGGCGCGGCAGACGGGUGAGUAACGCGUGGGAACGUACCUUUUGGUUCGGAACAACUCCGGGACACUGGAGCUAAUACCGGAUAAGCCCUAACGGGGAAAGAUUUAUCGCCGAAAGAUCGGCCCGCGUCUGAUUAGCUAGUUGGUGAGGUAACGGCUCACCAAGGCGACGAUCAGUAGCUGGUCUGAGAGGAUGAUCAGCCACACUGGGACUGAGACACGGCCCAGACUCCUACGGGAGGCAGCAGUGGGGAAUAUUGGACAAUGGGCGCAAGCCUGAUCCAGCCAUGCCGCGUGAGUGAUGAAGGCCUUAGGGUUGUAAAGCUCUUUUGUCCGGGAAGAUAAUGACUGUACCGGAAGAAUAAGCCCCGGCUAACUUCGUG